rnacentral:ncRNA from 1 species
UUUAUUGCUAUGAUGAAGAAGAGUACAUAAGUAAUUAUUUUAAAGCGAUUUAGGGAGGGUGAGAGCCUAAAAAGUAAUCUUAUAGAAAGAAGCUUCGGAGCUUAGACUGAAAAUCUUAAAUUUUAAGGAGUAGGUUUAGGGGUAAUUCCCUUAAUUGAUUAUGAGUGAGUUAGCUUAGCUAACUAAUUUAGGUGGUAACGCGGAAGUUAAGUCUUUCGUCCUAAUU